AAAAAGGCCCUUUUCAGGGCCGCCCACUAUCUCACAAAAAAGAGU
rfam:Cavia porcellus supercont2_38 genomic scaffold, whole genome shotgun sequence.